rnacentral:lncRNA from 1 species
UUUUUUUUUUUUUUUCCUCCCUAAGCCAGUUUUUUCUGGCAGUUACCCCCGGGAGAUUGAAAAGUAGCCAAAACUGGGUCAUGUGAAUUGAGGCAGGCAGAUGAAUUUCCAGCUGGUUGCCUGACUUGAAGUCAGAUUGGCCGAUGGCGGUGGAAGAGUGCAGUUGUACAGGGAGAAAGGAGUGAACUGGGAGAGGUUGAGAGAGACACCGCACACUCUCGUGUAAGGCACGUGGUGGCUCUUAGAGUGAGAGUAGGAGGGAAAUCGGCUGUCAGGUGCACAAAGGGAGGGCAGUCCAGGCAUGGGUUUGGUCAGGAGGCAGGGGGAAGGGCUCCGAGUUGUUUUUGGAGAGAGUGGCCAUGAGAGGGCGCCAGAGCAGCAGCAGAGCCCAGCAGCUGCUUGGGAUUGGCACUUCCCAGCCCAGACAUGGGGUUUGAAUUGGUUGGGCAGAGGGGUGGAAGUGGGGGUGGUGAUGGUGAUAGAUUUCCCAGGAUGUGCCUUGUGAGGAGGGCUAGUUUAUGGGUCACCUCUGACUCUGCAAUCUAAAUGAUCUCACCUGACAGAAAGGACACUUUUCUGCCUUCACACCUGGGGGUCACUUUCAGGCAGCUUGUGUAGCCCAAAGUCCAGACAAUGGGGCAGGCUGUCAUGAGCUCAGACAGCCUCUGGAUUCUGCAGAGGCAGACAAGUGAACAGAAGUGGAGUCGGCUUGAAUAUUGGGCAGGCAGUGUUCUAGGAUCAGACUUGCGUGGUGUUUGGAGUUUGGAAAGCUGGGCUGUUGGUGGCGGUUCAUGGAGAGUGUAAAAGCAGAGGUCUCCUGCUGGGCAGGCAGCAUCCAAUAGACUUGUUUUCUUUCUAAAGUUUCUUCUUUUCCUUCCAUCUGAGCCUCUCCCUUCUCUUGUUAUCCCCGGAGAGGAAAAAUCUGACCUGAAGCCAGGUCAGAUAAAUUAGGAAUGGAGGAUGAUUUAUUUAAAAUGGUGAACCUAUUUGGAGUUGGUGCAGCUCAUGGACUAAUGAGAAUGGUGACGGAUUGGGGAGAGUGACUGCUAUUGCUGGCAUUAAGGGGGGAAACUACCCUCUUAAAGGUGUUUGGUUGUUCUUAGAGUGAGGGGUGGGACUAAGUCCGCUAUCUGGUGCACAGGCCCAGGGCAGUCCUUGGGUUUGGGCAAGAGGCGGAGGCAAGGGCUCUGAGUUGCCAUUAGAGAGAAUGUGCACCAGAAGGUGCCAAAGCACCACACAAGCUCAGCAGCUGCUUGCUAUGGGCACUUCCAGGCUCAGCAAUGUGGUUGGAAAUGGGGAUGGAGGAUUCCCCAGAGGGUGUCUGGUAAGAAGGGGUUCCUACAGCCUGCAAAUGCCUCUCCAGCCCAAAGAGGCUCCCCAGGAGAAAGGGAAAGGGUUCCACCUUCCCAAAUCUGGAUCACUUUGGGGUGGCAGAGCUAGCCCAAAGCCCACAUUAAAGGACAGGCCUUGGGGUUCCAACUGCCUUGGGAUGAUGGAGAAGGGGAACUCUGAAACAGGGAAGCUGCCUUGGGUCCUGGGCAUGUGGUUUUGCAGAGUUAGGCUUGCACGGUGUUUGGCCUCUGGAGAGCUGGGCUGGUGGUGGUCAGUGGAGACUGCUAAAGCAGAGGUCCUUUGGAGGGCAGCCUAGGUCCACUCCAGGGACCAGUCUCUUGAGGGGUUCUCUGAAAAGUUCUGUGUUUUCCUUUCCUCUGAGCCUCUCCCUCCUUUUGUGCACCCCUGAGGGAAAAUCUUAGCUUAAAGGCAGUCACAUAAAAUGUGGCCUGGCAAAGCAUUUUGGAUGGGGUGUGGGGGAAUCUAAAGCCUGUUCCCUGACCUGAAGUGUGUUCAGCUGAUGGGCUCACAGGCGUACUGACAGAUAGGGAGCAUGCCGGGAUAUGGGAGCUAUUGAGCGAGAAAUAGCACCCUCCAUAAGGUCUUUGAUUUUCAUGAGAGAGGGAGAAAGAGAGACACAGAGACAGGAGAGGACCAGAUCAGGCUCACAGGUGCUCAAGAGCAGUGCAAACAGAACUGGGAGGGGUCAGGGGGCAGAAGACUGGGAUCUCAAGGGCUGGUAUGGGCAAUGGCCGUUAGAGGACGAGGAGCCCAGUUGUGCCCAUCUGCUGCCUGGUGUUGGCACUUCCACACUCAGAGAUGGGGUUGCCAGUGGUACUGGUGGAACCCCAAGGAUGUGCACAGCGACGGAAGGUGAGUUUUGGGCAUCUUCUGACUCUCUGGAUGAUGCAUGUCCUGAUAAUGGGUUCAGAGCUCUUCCUUCAAGGCUAGGGGUUGUUUCCAUACUGCUCACAGAGCGGUAAGACCAGUCGAUGUGACCAGCUAUCCGUGGUCUUAAUGCCUUUGGAUUCUCUGAUGGAAUAGCCAUGAAUCAAAAUGUAUUUGGUUUGAAUCUUGGGCAUGCAGUUCUUGAGAGCCAGGAUUUUGUCCGAUGUGGCAUCUGGAACGCAUGCCCGUGGACCUGAUUGGAGGGUGUAGAAGGGGGUUUGUGGCU